rnacentral:rRNA from 1 species
CAGUGGGGAAUAUUGGCCAAUGGGCGAAAGCCUGAUCCAGCCAUGCCGCGUGUGUGAAGAAGGUCUUCGGAUUGUAAAGCACUUUAAGUUGGGAGGAAGGGCAGUAAGUUAAUACCUUGCUGUUUUGACGUUACCAACAGAAUAAGCACCGGCUAACUUCGUGCCAGCAGCCGCGGUAAUACGAAGGGUGCAAGCGUUAAUCGGAAUUACUGGGCGUAAAGCGCGCGUAGGUGGUUCGUUAAGUUGGAUGUGAAAGCCCCGGGCUCAACCUGGGAACUGCAUCCAAAACUGGCGAGCUAGAGUAUGGCAGAGGGUGGUGGAAUUUCCUGUGUAGCGGUGAAAUGCGUAGAUAUAGGAAGGAACACCAGUGGCGAAGGCGACCACCUGGGCUAAUACUGACACUGAGGUGCGAAAGCAUGGGGAGCAAACAGGAUUAGAUACCCUGGUAGUCCACGCCGUAAACGAUAUCGGCUAGCCGUUGGGAUCCUUGAGAUCUUAGUGGCGCAGCU